CAAUGGGGGAAACCCUGAUGCAGCGACGCCGCGUGGAGGAAGAAGGUCUUCCGAUUGUAAACUCCUGUUGUUGAGGAAGAUAAUGACGGUACUCAACAAGGAAGUGACGGCUAACUACGUGCCAGCAGCCGCGGUAAAACGUAGGUCACAAGCGUUGUCCGGAAUUACUGGGUGUAAAGGGAGCGCAGGCGGGAAGACAAGUUGGAAGUGAAAUCUAUGGGCUCAACCCAUAAACUGCUUUCAAAACUGUUUUUCUUGAGUAGUGCAGAGGUAGGCGGAAUUCCCGGUGUAGCGGUGGAAUGCGUAGAUAUCGGGAGGAACACCAGUGGCGAAGGCGGCCUACUGGGCACCAACUGACGCUGAGGCUCGAAAGUGUGGGUAGCAAACAGGAUUAGAUACCCUGGUAGUCCAAGGGCGAAUUC
rnacentral:rRNA from 1 species